CACAGCCCCUAGGGCCAGCCUCUCAGGACACAGAGCAGGGCAGGAAAGAGUUGUGGGGAGGUGGAGAGAACAGAAGAGGCCGGCAGCCCCCCUGGGAAUCGCUGCUGCCCAGCACACUUGCCGCCUGAAGCCAGAGUGCGUUGGGGACAGGGCAGGGCCUGGAGGGACAGCAGGACUCGCUGUUCUGGGCAAGGGCUCACUUGCGUCCUUUCUGGCCUGCAGUCUCCGUGAGCAUCAACAACCUGUACCCGGGCUGCGAGAACGUGAGCGUGAGGAGCCGCAGCAUGAUGUUCGAGCCGGGCCUCACCAAAGGGAUGCUGGAGGUGUUCAUGGCCCCGUCCCACCACCCGCACUGCUCGGCCGAUGACCAGUCCACCAAGGCCAUCGACAUCCAGAACGCCUAUUUGAACGGAGUUGGCGAUUUCAGCGUGUGGGAGUUCUCUGGAAAUCCUGUGUACUUCUGCUGUUAUGACUAUUUCGCUGCAAAUGAUCCCACGUCAAUCCAUGUCAUUGUUUUUAGUCUAGAAGAGCCCUAUGAGAUCCAGCUGAACCAAGUGAUUUUCUGGCUCAGUUUCCUGAAGUCCCUCGUCCCAGUCGAAGAACCCAUAGGUGAGCUAAGUGCCCGUGGGCGAGGGAGUGUCCUUCCUGCUGCCGGCGGGCAUCGCCUCCUCCCUCCAGGCUCCUGCGCUGCUCCUGCCGCUGGUGCAGGCCUUGCACCCCGGCCGCGUGCAGAUCCCACAGCUGUGGCUCCUCCUGCUAGGAAACUUCCAGUCUGGAAAGCUUCCUGGGGCUCAGCCAUUCAGUGUUCUGUAGAAAGAUUUUGUAUCACGAUUGUGUGUUCCUGCCUCAAAGGCCCGAUUCCGAGCCAGUUAUUUAGAGCCAUUUCUCAGAUCCUUUCUACGCUUUCGAGCUGUGGUCAUUUUGUUGGGUGCAGAAUGGAAUCCCUGCUCAGAUGGCUGCUGCCCCUUUGCCUAAAGGGAACAGAAUUAAUCAGCAGAAGGAGCUCUCCUUCCUCCUGCAGGUCCGUCAAGAACUGAUGAGACAGGCCGGUGUUGCCUGAAUGUGUUAUCUUAGCUUCGUUCCUAGAGGAGAGGACGACAUGGAAUAAACUUCUUUUGUUCUUCACAUACAACAAGAGAAGCAGCCUUCCCUGGUGAAAUGCA
rnacentral:lncRNA from 1 species